rnacentral:rRNA from 1 species
UACGAAGGGGGCUAGCGUUGUUCGGAAUUACUGGGCGUAAAGCGCGUGUAGGCGGGUCUUUUAAGUCAGGGGUGAAAUGCCAAGGCUCAACCUUGGAACUGCCUUUGAUACUGGGGACCUUGAGUCCGGGAGAGGUGAGUGGAAUUGCGAGUGUAGAGGUGAAAUUCGUAGAUAUUCGCAAGAACACCAGUGGCGAAGGCGGCUCACUGGCCCGGAACUGACGCUGAGACGCGAAAGCGUGGGGAGCAAACAGG